rnacentral:rRNA from 1 species
AUUGAACGCUGGCGGCAGGCCUAACACAUGCAAGUCGAACGAGUGGCGGACGGGUGAGUAAUGUCUGGGAAACUGCCUGAUGGAGGGGGAUAACUACUGGAAACGGUAGCUAAUACCGCAUACCAUCAGAUGUGCCCAGAUGGGCUUAGCUAGUUGGUGGGGUAACGGCUCCCCAAGGCGACGCUUCCUAGAUGGUCUGAGAGGAUGACCAGCCCAACUGGAACGGAGACCCGGUCCGGACUCCUACGGGAGGGAGCAGUGGGGAAUAUGGCACAAUGGGCGCAAGCCUGAUGCAGCCGUGCCGCGUGUAUGAAGAAGGCCUUCGGGUUGUAAAGUACUUUCAGCGGGGAGGCGUUACCCGCAGAAGAAGCACCGGCUAACUCCGUGCCAGCCGCCGCGGUAAUUC